rnacentral:rRNA from 1 species
GACGAACGCUGGCGGCGUGCUUAACACAUGCAAGUCGAGCGAUGAAGCACCUUCGGGUGUGAAUUAGCGGCGAACGGGUGAGGAACACGUGAGAAAUCUGCCUCCAACACUGGGAUAACUCCGGGAAACCGGGGCUAAUACCGGAUAUGAAACCUGCGGGCAUCCGCGGGUUUGGAAAGUUUUUCGGUUGAUGAUGAUCUCGCGGCCUAUCAGCUUGUUGGUGAGGUAAUGGCUCACCAAGGCGACGACGGGUAGCCGGCCUGAGAGGGCGACCGGCCACACUGGGACUGAGACACGGCCCAGACUCCUACGGGAGGCAGCAGUGGGGAAUAUUGGGCAAUGGAGGAAACUCUGACCCAGCGACGCCGCGUGCGGGAUGAAGGCCUUCGGGUUGUAAACCGCUUUCAGCAGGGAAGAAGCGAAAGUGACGGUACCUGCAGAAGAAGCACCGGCUAACUAUGUGCCAGCCGCCGCGGUAA